rnacentral:ribozyme from 1 species
UUGCAAGUUCAAGGCGAUAGCAGAAGCACUCACAGCAUGGCCUGUCAGAUUCCAGUGAAUCUGCAAAUUCUGCU